GAAGGACAAUUAGCAUAGCCUCAGCCUGCUGUCUAUAUAAGGCGAGCGCUUGAGGUCCCCCUGUCCUGUUCAAGAGAGCUGUACAGUAAACGCUUUGCUGCAAAAGGAUCUUGGUGUCUGUGUGCGUUCUUGCUGGCAAGAUGAUAGCGCGGGAUAUUUGGUGCCGAAACCCGGGAAAAAAAUGCCUCACCAUCGCCAGCGCCGAGGAGACCCUCAGCUCUCGGAGAGGAUUCAGAAUUGCAGGACGAAGAGAGAAUAUGCCAGAAGAUAGUCACCAUGUUCUGCUAAAUCACAUCUGUCUUUCAUGCAUGAAGCAGGCAGAGCCUUUGACUCAUUGCAUGAGUAAGAAUUGAACAUAAAUCUGUGACACAAUUGGAAAAUUGGCCAAAAUAUUUUCUGUGUUCAGGAGUAAAACUGUAGAAGAUAGUUUGAAGACAAUUUAUCAGAAACCAUAUUUAUUCCACUUUCUGUAAUUUGCAAAUAAAUGUAUAUUUAAAAUUA